AGGAUGAACGCGUAGCGGCAGGCUUAACACAUGCAAGUCGAGGGGCGAGCGGGAUGUAGCAAUACAUUGCCGGCGACCGGCGGAUGGGUGCGGUAACGCGUAUGCAACCUACCUUAUACAGGGGAAUAACCUUUCGAAAGGGAGACUAACACCCAUGGUAUUGAUUUAAGGCAUCUUAGAUUAAUUAAAUAUUUAUAGGUAUAAGAUGGGCAUGCGUAUGAUUAGCUAGUUGGUAAGGUAACGGCUUACCAAGGCGACGAUCAUUAGGGGUUCUGAGAGGAAGGUCCCCCACACUGGUACUGAGACACGGACCAGACUCCUACGGGAGGCAGCAGUGAGGAAUAUUGGUCAAUGGGCGCAAGCCUGAACCAGCCAUGCCGCGUGCAGGAAGACGGCCUUAUGGGUUGUAAACUGCUUUUACAUAAGACUAACCGUAUAUUUGCGAAUAUACCUGAAUGUAUUAUGAGAAUAAGGAUCGGCUAACUCCGUGCCAGCCGCCGC
rnacentral:rRNA from 1 species